ACGCAAGGCAGUAUACCAUAUUUUAUACCGUGGAGUUCUAUAGCCUUGCCGUGGCUGUUAUCCGAAAUCGGGGCAUUUUUGUUGGAACAAAUAGUAAAUACCUAUAACAACGAUGAAGAAGUGCGUGAUCCGCGGAGCAAACGACCUACGUCGGGUCGGGACUGAUAUGCGUGUGACUGUGCACCAGUUCCCGCAAAAAAAAGAAGUACAGAGAAAAGUGGAUGAGGGUGUGUGGCAUGACCAAUGAGCCAAGACCACAUGACCACUUAAACUUAACAAGAAGUGCGCACCAUGAUAAGCACAGUCAAAAACGUUUGCGUCUAAAGAACAGUGCUGUGCCGGAUCAGAAUAUUCCGUAUACGCCUUGGGUUGCUGUCGCUGCUCGGUCACCCACAGAUGAAAGUGAUCAAGAAAUGGACAUCACUCAGGUGUGGGAUCACUCGUGGAAGUUCACGGCGGAUACGGAGCCGUGCAUGCAGCUCUGGUUCGAUCCUGCUCAGGGAAGCCCCAAUGACGCCGUGGCGCGCAUCUGGCGGCAGCGGCCCGCUCCUGACCCGGUCGCCCUGUGCCGAGCACAGAGCGCCGACUGAUGUCAGUCUUGUGAUCGAGCUUCCGCGCCGGAGGUGGAACAGGUGGAGCUGGCGGUCACCUGCGCGGGCACGGCGGCCUGUAAGCCGUGCCGAGACGAACCGCGACUCUUGCUAGAUCUGCACCCCAUUGUAAUCUUCUGUAGUCGAUAUUCGGUAGGUACUCAAUGCUCAUUUUUCUGAUAUUAGACGAGUGGCGUGUUUUGAUGUUACAUUGGAGACUGCUGUCUCGGGUGGCCCGACAGUGUUCGAUUGUGGUGUAAUGUAGAUACAUAGACGGGAUGCCGCGGCUCGGAUUCGUAGCUGGACUACCAUGUGCCUGUCGAUUGAGAUGCUUUGCCUGGCGAUUGAGAUGAUUCAGGGCG